rnacentral:rRNA from 1 species
UGAGGAAUAUUGCGCAAUGGGGGCAACCCUGACGCAGCAACGCCGCGUGAGUGAGGAAGGUUUUCGGACCGUAAAGCUCUGUCGAGCGGGAAGAAAUGCAUGGUGGCUAAUAUCCAUCAUGCUUGACGGUACCGCUAAAGGAAGCACCGGCUAACUCCGUGCCAGCAGCCGCGGUAAUACGGGGGGUGCGAGCGUUGUUCGGCAUUAUUGGGCGUAAAGAGCGUGUAGGCGGCCGAAUAAGUCAGAUGUGAAAUCCCGGGGCUUAACCCAGGACGUGCAUUUGAAACUAGUCGGCUAGAGUAGGGGGGAGGAAAGUGGAAUUCCUGGUGUAGAGGUGAAAUUCGUGGAUAUCAGGAGGAACACCGGUGGCGAAGGCGACUUUCUGGCCCUAUACUGACGCUGAGAGGCGAGAGCGUGGGU